rnacentral:rRNA from 1 species
UACGGGGGGGGCGAGCGUUGUUCGGAAUUACUGGGCGUAAAGGGUUUGUAGGUGGUCUGCUAAGUCAGACGUGAAAUCCCUCAGCUUAACUGGGGAACUGCGUCUGAUACUGGCGGACUUGAGGACAGGAGAGGAACGCGGAAUUCCAGGUGUAGCGGUGAAAUGCUUAGAUAUGACAUAGAACACCAAUUGCGAAGGCAGCUGGCUACACAAAUAUUGACACUGAGGCACGAAAGCGUGGGGAUCAAACAGG